UUUUUAGAGUGUGUCAGUUCCAAUGUGAGGAAGGAUAUGAAGAAAACAGACGCAGACUGGAUACUAUAGUGCUCAUGGCUUUAUUGCAGGAAUCUGUCAGUGCUCUUCUAGAGAGAAGAGGCUGGUUUGGUGACCGGGAAGAUUUCAGUGUAAUGCUUCAAUCCAGUCCAGUGCACACCGAACUGUCAAACCCAAUGAAAGCCUCUACGUCUGACUCCUCACGUGACAUAAGCUCGUUGACUUUACAACUCUGGACUAAUUUGCUGCAGCCAUUGACAGAUAAGACUGAGACGAAUGGGCGGGGCAUAUUCACCAUUCCGUGCCCCACAGAGGAAAAGCCAUUUUUGCGAACACAGGAAAACUCAUACUCACCUGAGCUCGGUAACUCCCAAACAGAGGAUCCCUCUCCACUACUCCACCCAGUGAUGGGGAGUGAGCUCACCUGUGAGGACAGGUCUCCAUCUCCCAGCAUCCCUACCUCAGGUAAACAGGGAUCUCAAACCUGUAGUGCACCCUGGCUGGAAAUUAUAGU
rnacentral:lncRNA from 1 species